CCGGCCCAACUUUGUGUUCUUUCACCAUGAUCGCGAGGAACCCUCUGUCCUCUGACGCCCGCCGCCGGGCUCCUCCUCACCCGGCGCUCCAGCGCCGCCUGCUCCGCUGGUCUACUCAAAUCCGGAACAGCCAUGGAUCACGUCAGGCCACCAGAAAUUCACAUCCUCUUCUUCCAGAGCCUUGGGUUGUUGCAUUUGGCACUUUCUUCAAUCAACAAUAGCAACAUUGAGGGCCUUAGAGGUGAACUACUACAUUUCUUCAUCAUUUAUUUUCAACUACUAGGGCCUUAAUUUUUGUGUCACUUUCUUCCUCAUUUAUUUUGACUGUAUGUGCUAUACAAACCUAACACCAAUUACCUUUAGUAUUUCCUUACAUUUUUGAUCUACUAGGUUUCUUUACACACUGUCAAAUGUAUUUAAGACCACGGUUAAUAUACAUUUAAAUUUGUAUUCUAUAAUUCAAUCAUUUAUAAGAUUUAUGCAGU